UGUAUAGGCACCGUCGUGAAUGUCUACGUAACAUAGGUAUUUUAGUCGGCGACGACGAUGUCUAGCGGAUGGUAUAAAUGCGAAUUCCGCGAUUUGGUCGCUAACAAAUAUUUACCGUAGGUAUAAUAACCUAAUUGAAGAUUGUUCGAUUCCGAAAAAAAAAAAAAAAAAACCAAUUGUUGAUCUUAAAAGCCGUUACGGUAGAAUUUUCCACCGUUGCAGUCUUUAUCUAACGGUAUAUCGAAAAUGUCCAACGCAAGUCCAAUACCAAAAUAAAAAAAAAAAACCUUAAAAUAGGACAGAAAAAACAUCUAUUCUAAAAUUUGUAGAUGAUCACACGGAUAAUCUUGUCGGC